rnacentral:rRNA from 1 species
CCUAAGGUAGCGAAAUUCCUUGUCGGGUAAGUUCCGACCUGCACGAAUGGCGUAAUGAUGGCCAGGCUGUCUCCACCCGAGACUCAGUGAAAUUGAACUCGCUGUGAAGAUGCAGUGUACCCGCGGCAAGACGGAAAGACCCCGUGAACCUUUACUAUAGCUUGACACUGAACAUUGAGCCUUGAUGUGUAGGAUAGGUGGGAGGCUUUGAAGUGUGGACGCCAGUCUGCAUGGAGCCGUCCUUGAAAUACCACCCUUUAAUGGCUGGUGUUCUAACGUAGACCCGUAAUCCGGGUUGCGGACAGUGUCUGGUGGGUAGUUUGACUGGGGCGGUCUCCUCCCAAAGAGUAACGGAGGAGCACGAAGGUUGGCUAAUCCUGGUCGGACAUCAGGAGGUUAGUGCAAUGGCAUAAGCCAGCUUGACUGCGAGCGUGACGGCGCGAGCAGGUGCGAAAGCAGGUCAUAGUGAUCCGGUGGUUCUGAAUGGAAGGGCCAUCGCUCAACGGAUAAAAGGUACUCCGGGGAUAACAGGCUGAUACCGCCCAAGAGUUCAUAUCGACGGCGGUGUUUGGCACCUCGAUGUCGGCUCAUCACAUCCUGGGGCUGAAGUAGGUCCCAAGGGUAUGGCUGUUCGCCAUUUAAAGUGGUACGCGAGCUGGGUUUAGAACGUCGUGAGACAGUUCGGUCCCUAUCUGCCGUGGGCGCUGGAGAACUGAGGGGGGCUGCUCCUAGUACGAGAGGACCGGAGUGGACGCAUCACUGGUGUUCGGGUUGUCAUGCCAAUGGCACUGCCCGGUAGCUAAAUGCGGAAGAGAUAAGUGCUGAAAGCAUCUAAGCACGAAACUUGCCCCGAGAUGAGUUCUCCCUGAGACUUUAGGUCUCCUGAAGGAACGUUGAAGACGACGACGUUGAUAGGCCGGGUGUGUAAGCGCAGCGAUGCGUUGAGCUAACCGGUACUAAUGAACCGUGAGGCUUAACCUU